CAGUUGAGCUCAAAUGUAUUUGUAACCUUUCUAAAUUUGCCAUAUCUAAUUUGGAAAUAUUGAACAAUUGUUUUUAAUUUUCUUUCUAGUAAUUUUUUUGUAAUAUUUCUAUGUUUUCUUAGUAAUUGAAGGUCCAAGCCUUCAAUCCCAAAAACACUAUUCCAACAGUGAAACACGGUGGUGGAACCAUCAUGAUUUGGACUAAUUUGCUUCCAAUGGAACUGGAGAACUUCACAAAAUAGAUGGCACCAUGAAAAAGGAAGACUACAUCGAGAUUCUUGAAAUGCAUCUGCAUCAAUCAGCAAAGAUGCUUCAGCUUGACCCAAAGCACACAUCCAAAAAAGUUCAAGAAUGGCUCAAUAGGCAUACGUUCAUGGUCAUAGAUUGGCCAGCCCAAAAUCCUGACCUUACCCCUGUUAAGAAUCUAUGGAGGAUAUUUAAAAAAAAGACAUCCAACAAAUUUCGAUGACCUUUGGAGAUUAUGUCAAGAAGAUUGAGCCAAAAUCGAUCCCAGGGUUUGGCUCAAUUUGAUAUUCCAAAUUGAUACUGCUUAAAAAUAAAUUGUUUCCUUAUUUGACACCUCAUUCAAGUCCAUCAUCCCAAAACCGAAAAAAUGGGAAUAUCUAAAAUAUUAUCUUUAAAAGUAGAUCAAAAUUGAUUUUCAACAAGAGCAAGGAAUAGUAUUCUGUGUUCCCGGAUAUUUAUCACGAUCAUCGUUAAUACUCGAACAGAAAACUCUACGGAAAUAAAAGACGAACUUUUAAAACGGGUGUAUGAUUUACGAUAUCAAAAAUGGCCUGUAGUUACCAAGAAAUAGUUUUCAUAGUACAUGCAUCAAUUGAAGGUAUCUGCCUCUAAAAUAAUAAAAUUAUUAUAGUUAUUGGGAAAAAGGAAAAAAAAAAAAACAAUAUGCGAAUUCUUCAUCGUUAAAUCAAUCUGUGAUGUCCAUACCAACAAGUUGAAUUUAGUGAAUAUACUUAGCUGAACUCCAGUGAAAAACUUUUUAUUUAACAAAAAUCAAUAGCAUACUGCUUAAACGAUAAUAGUUUCCUUAUUUGAUAGAAUUCAACUCGUUCAAGUCGAUCCAUACAAAGCCGAAAAAAAGAAUAAUUUCUAAAAUAUUUCCCCUGAAAGUAGAUCAAUAUUAUAUGUAAAUUGAGAAUAUUACGGCGAAAUUUCUCCCUAUAUAACUUCCUCUAGAGGAUCUUCAACACCAGCAAGGAAUAGUAUUUACAUUCUCGGAUAUAUAUUACAACCAUUAUGAAAAAAAUUGCUAUG
rnacentral:lncRNA from 1 species